rnacentral:rRNA from 1 species
UACGUAGGGUGCAAGCGUUGUCCGGAAUUAUUGGGCGUAAAGAGCUCGUAGGCGGCUUGUCACGUCGACUGUGAAAACCCGGGGCUCAACUCCGGGCCUGCAGUCGAUACGGGCUGGCUUGAGUGCGGUAGGGGGAGACUGGAAUUCCUGGUGUAGCGGUGGAAUGCGCAGAUAUCAGGAGGAACACCGGUGGCGAAGGCGGGUCUCUGGGCAGUAACUGACGCUGAGGCGCGAAAGCCAGGGGAGCGAACGGG